UAACUACUUGGGGAAAAAAAAACUAAAAGUAAACAGAAGUAAGAUUUUAUGUGUGAUAUAUAUAUAUAUAUAUAUAUAUAUAUAUAUAUAUAUAUAUAUAUAUAUAUAUAUAUAUAUAAUAAAAAAGCAUCCCCCCAAAAAGUAAAAACCCAAGGUAGCUUCCAUCAUGCAACAUCUGAAUGUUUGUUUCCGGUUUAACAUUUUUCUGCCUGACCUACAUUUUAUUUCAUCAUUAGCUAAUAACAAACACCAGGUUUAGCAAUUCCCUGUGGUAGACAUUUUGAGUGGUGAGUUAGAACUGCUUGCUACAUGCCUGGUAGGCUCCCUUCUCCCUGGCCAUAUCCCACCUCUACCACACACUCUUGACCUCCAGGCCUAGACCCUAAUUUGCUUUCACUAGCAGGCAUUGGGACUAGUAGCCACUUUGCUAAGUAUUUUAUUUUUUUGUGUAUCUUGUAUCUCAUGUAUCUUGAGGUUCUCUUUGAUAGAGAGGAAAUGAAAUCCUUUGGGAAGGAGGAGAUUGCUAUGGUACAGUCUGGCUCCAGCCUGCUUGUUAACAGCAAAGCUAGCAUAAAUGUUUGUGGUUGCCUUUCCCAAACUGCCCCCACCUGCCUGAGUGAGGCGAUUGGAAAUGCAGCUAUUUGGAGAAGUUGCUACUGAAGUGAUUGGGUCAUUUUUUUCUGUGUUAAAUGCCACCAACCCAACAGAACAGUAGCUGAAAUGAUACACUGUUGUAAUCUCAUUGUUAUCGUAUACACACUAUCCUAUCGUAUAUACAUUAUAUGGGAAGUGUGUGCUCAUCUAGUUAAGUCUCAAUGUUCCAAACGGAGUUCUAUAUGGAGAAGUGAUAAGAUUCAAAUGUAUUACACUCUUGGCUUUGGAAAUAGUAUAUUAUUUUAGUGGUUAGCCAUCUGGCUUCUCAAGUAUGUUUGGCAGAAGGCAGUCCUGACAUUUGGCUUCCAUCUUUUAGGCUGCAGAUAUCUGUGAUUCAGGAGAGAAGGGCACAGACCUUGCAAGGCAAAGCUAGUGUGGUGGAUGAUCGAUCAUUCCGACUACUUCUCAAAGAGGGCGUCUGCCUGCUGAGGGGCUAACGUAGACCAUGUCUUCGGGAGUCAGUGCUUGCUCACUCUGUAAUGAAACUUUGGGAUAUUUGAAGUUAUGGUUUCUCUUCUUUAGCUUAAGAGCCUUGUAAGCAUCUCCUACAUUAUAGAGAGGCUAAAGAAGGAACAAAUGUCUGUGUGUUCUCUUCUUAAUAUAAUCAAUCAAAUAUCAAGGUAGUUAGAGAAAUAUUAAUUCAGUAUGGAUUUAGUCCUAAGCCAACCAAAGUAUUCUUAACACUUGAAAAGUUAAUUAUCACAUAAAUAUUUUAAAAAUUCGCAUUGAAAUUAGUCCCUAGUGAAAGUGUAAAAUGUAACGCGAAGCUCUCCCGCUUCGGAAUGCUUUCCUAAGUGUAUCCAAGUUCAUGGGAAUGUAAAGAGCUUGGCUCUGGUCCCUUUUGGUCUGUGAUAUUUAUUUGCAAGUUUUUGUAAUAAAGUUAAUUAAAAAUUAAAAAUUCAAAAAACUUCGUGCAACUUGUUUACCUCUUUAAGACGAGGAACAUAGGGCAUUGUGGGUAGAAUUGCUUUACAACCCACUGCAGGUUCUUUUGUGAGGCGAAAUGAAUUCUCCAAACAAUAUCCUUUGAUUGACUUCAACAUAUCUUAUAUUAAACUAUAUUUGGACCUAAGCCAUAAUUAGUACAUAAGGAACUUUUAAAAUUAAUGUACACUUGUGACCUAUAAGAUUAAUUUAAAAAUAUUUAACUCAGUAUAAAAUAUUCAUUCAUACUUAUUUUCAGAUUUCCUGUUGCAUUUUGGAAAUACUUCCUCUGUUUCUUUUUCUUUUUUUCCCUUUUCUGUACUGUUUGUGUCACUGUUUUGCCCACCAGGAAUGAAAUAGAGGUUUGAUCUGCCACAUCCGCUUGUAUCUGAUGGGCUGCACAUCCCCUGAUAUAGACAAUGAACUUGAAGAUGUUUGGGAAAAACUGAUCUGUGCUGAGCAUACACAGACCCUGCUUUCCUUGUCAUUCCCUAGGCAGGAUGGCAUGGCUGUUUACGUGGCUUUUACAUUAUGUUAGCCUUGUGAGGACUCUGCAGCGCAUUUAAAGUUCACAGGUGGAUUUGUGGGUUACAUGCAGAUGUCGGGCCAUUUUAUAUAAGGCGUUUGAGCCUUCUUGGAACUGGACAUUCACGAGUCCCCACAGACACUCAGGGACUGCUUUGAUUGUUUUCCUAGUGCCACUGUUUGACUAAUUCUUAUCCCAUAGUUGACCUUUUAAAAAAAAAAAAAACUCUGUGUGUGUGUGUGUGUGUGUGUGUGUGCGCUUAUCUUCCUUUCUGUAAGAGAUCAUGAAUGCCAGUGCUGAGCCUAGGGAAAAUAUCAAAACAAACACGACCUUUGAUCCUUCCAGAGAUAACCAUCAUCUCUUAGUCAUACAGAUAAAAUUUCUUAGUCAUAUCUAACCAUAGAUACACACGUGCACUUUGCCAGAAAUUGUUAAAAUAUGUGUACACAAACUUGUAUCAUUUUAAGGGGAAAAGGGAGCUCGGUAUUGCUUCAGAGUGGUAGCUCUGCUCCCUGGAUUCUUCACAGGGACCUGUCAGUCAUUCUAGAGCCAGCACCUGGCUCAGGCUCUGCCGUGACAUUUUCAGUUGAUCCUUCCUUGUUUUCUUGGCUAGUUGCCCUUCAAACAGAAAGUUCAUCGCCUCUCCUCAGCUGCUAAUGUGAUUUACUUCGUGUGUCUAGGAAGUCAGGAUGGUUGCUGAUUUUAUUGUUUAGAGAGGACUGGCUUCUUGGUCUGAAGCCAGGGUGUUCCCAGCUGAUAGAAAACGGAACCCAGCAGCCCCCAUUUCAGAGAUUGCCAGGCUUAUGACUCAAAGAUACUUUACAGGCCAGGUUAAGCAAUUGUUAGGCCCCUCCUGGCACACGUCAGAUGCGAUGAUUGUCUAUUGAUUGUAAUCCAAAGAUUAUUUUGGCCCUCAUCUACAAACACAGAUGCCUUUUGAUC
rnacentral:lncRNA from 1 species